GUCGUGGCGGCGAGCUAGGGAGCUGCCUUAGGCCGAUUUGGAACGAGGUGGUGAUUUGCCGUCGACGGGUUGCUGAAGAUGGGGGUCCAGUCGACGAUCCGAGCUAGCUUCUUUGAGCGGGAGAAGGAGGAUUAGGAGGAGGUCAGGUCCGGUCUAUGGAGGUUUAGGAGGAGGAGGAGGAGAAGCUGGCUUGGGAGGAGAGUGAGAGAAGCUGAGAUGGUUUCGAAAGGCCAAGACAGACACUGGGAACUGAAACUAAAUACGGGUCGGUUCGGGCUUUCGGUCUCUGCAUAUUUGAGACCCGAGACCGAACUGAUAAAAUAUAUUCGGGUCGGGCCCUAGACCGAACCGAUAUUUUCAAAGUCAAAACCGAACCGAAUCUGGCUUUUUGGAUCUGUUCGGGUAGGGUUUUCGGGUUUUCGGGUCCUGAUACCCACCCCUAACUGUCACCGCCCGGCCUUAAUGCCCAUUGCGAAGUCUAAUAAGUUCUGGCAAAUUUAUAUGUUCAGUGUGAAGUUCAUGUUCUCAAAGUUCAUAUUGAACUAGCAUUGGCACUGUUAUGGUAGCUGUACAAAGUUCAGACCCAUUCAUUUCUCCCCAUCUUGGCCUGUACAAAAUCACUUAAUAGAUUACUUUUUUAUCAUACAAAUUAGACAAGACUAAAAGGAGAUAGAUUUUACCUAAUUCG
rnacentral:lncRNA from 1 species